GUGAAUGCAGGCGGAGGGCCCCCUGGGUUUUCAAGGGCAGAAGAGAAGGCAGUGCAGGGACUUGUCAGCACACAGUGCCUUAACUUCACAGCUGGGGUCUCGAGCCCUCUGCUCCUUCAGAAAGGACUUGGCCGAAAAAGGGUGUGAAGAGAAGGCAUAGGCGUCAAAGAAGUGUCCCUACUGGGGACGGGUGGGCAUGCAGUGGAGAAGCUUGGAGGGAAGGAUCCAAAGUGCAGGAACUGGGCAGAAGCCUUGGAGAGACACCUGGAAGGGACACUGAGUCAGUGCUGCAAACAGUGUCUCUGGGCAGAGCCCAGCAGAGAGCGUCACCCCAGGCUGAUGGGGUGGAGCUGGGGGCUUUUCAGAUCAAACAGAAUCUUGGCGAGGUUCUUGAAAGGGAAAAGCUAAUUUUGGGAGAAGAGGAUCUAGGAUAAAAUAGUGAAAAAAAAAAUUGUAACCUCAUAUAAGUACAUGGUAUACAGCUAUAAAACCAUUUUUGUCUUUGUGAUUCUCUAAAUCCCUAGAAGGCAUUCUUUUCUGGUUUGUAUCGCACGGUGGAUUGGCUUUAGUUAGGCAGGAUCCAGACUCAGUCCUCGUUCCCUGUUCUUUCUACAUAUAGCCUUGUCUUUCUUCUGUUGUAACUGUAGGUCAUGAGGUCCCAGAGGUAGGUAGUCCCUUUAUUCUGAAAAGGGAAGUGACAACAGGACACAAGGCACGUUAGGGACAUACGGUGGACUUGAGAUUUCCUCAAAGGUAUUUGUGCUCUCAACUCCCCACAUUCCUGCAAAGGUUGGUUAUUCACUUAAACACACUAUGUGCGCUGGCCUGGAUGGAAAGUCAUGACAGAGAAAGGACAAUUGAAAAAGGACUGUAAAGCAGGCGUGGGGUUUAGGGUGAAGAAAACUGUUGUAAAUGAAUGAUGGAAACAAGGUUAAUGGAGGAAGGAGGACGGGUGGUGAGAACCUGGCUUCCAUGGAAGCUUCUUUUUAUCUUUUAGUAACAGCUUUAUUGGGAUAGAAUUCAUAUACCACAGUAUUCCCCCAUGCAAGUUUCUUCAUGGUCUCAGGUUGCCCCAGAAGAGGAUGUGAAUGAUGACCACUCAGGGCAGUGAUGGGUAACUCGACACAGAGUCCAGAGAGCCCAUGCUGUUCCUGGAAGCCUCUUGAAU
ensembl:lncRNA